GAUGAACGCUGGCGGCGUGCUUAACACAUGCAAGUCGAACGAACUGAGAAGAGCUUGCUCUUCAAGGUUAGUGGCGGACGGGUGAGUAACGCGUGGGUAACCUGCCCUAUGCAGGGGGAUAACGUUUGGAAACGAACGCUAAUACCGCAUAGACUAUGGAUCAUCGCAUGAUGAUUAUAGUAAAGAUUUUAUCGGCAUAGGAUGGACCUGCGUUGGAUUAGCUAGUUGGUGAGAUAACAGCCCACCAAGGCGACGAUCCAUAGCCGGCCUGAGAGGGUGAACGGCCACAUUGGGACUGAGACACGGCCCAAACUCCUACGGGAGGCAGCAGUGGGGAAUAUUGCACAAUGGGCGAAAGCCUGAUGCAGCGACGCCGCGUGAAGGAAGAAGGUCUUCGGAUUGUAAACUUCUAUCAGCAGGGAAGAAUAAAUGACGGUACCUGACUAAGAAGCUCCGGCUAACUACGUGCCAGCAGCCGCGGUAAUACGUAGGGAGCGAGCGUUAUCCGGAUUUACUGGGUGUAAAGGGUGCGUAGGCGGUUUGUUAAGUCAGAAGUGAAAUUUAGGGGCUCAACCUCUAAGCUGCUUCUGAAACUGAUGAACUAGAGUGUGGGAGAGGAAAGUGGAAUUCCGAGUGUAGCGGUGAAAUGCGUAGAUAUUAGGAGGAACACCAGUAGCGAAGGCGGCUUUCUGGACUGUAACUGACACUGAGGCACGAAAGCGUGGGGAGCAAACAGGAUUAGAUACCCUGGUAGUCC
rnacentral:rRNA from 1 species